GUCUAGUUGGCCUAGGACACCGCCCUUUCACGGCGGCAACAGGGGUUCGAAUCCCCUUGGGGACGCCA
rnacentral:tRNA from 1 species